rnacentral:misc_RNA from 1 species
UAUUCCUGCAACAAACAU